rnacentral:lncRNA from 1 species
GAGACCUUAAUAUGACAUUACAAUAGCAUCAUAACUGUUCUAAACAUGUAGCUGAAGUGCUGAAAAGGCUGCGGAGAUAACAAAGAUCAAGCUGCCAGGAAGAGAUCAGACUGGCAUGGGAUUUCUCUGGAAGAGUCUUGCCACAGAAACUCAAAUGCCAAUGCCCCAUCGGUCCGCUUGGACACAUCAUGACAGUGACGUCAAAGCAACAGGAGCUUGAAGCAGGGAAGUCACAUCUCCAUCACAUUUGGAAAAUGGGACAGAAGCCCCUGGAGCACAGGGCUCUCUAUUCUUCAUUUUCUGCACCUAAGAAUCCACAGCCAUGCACACAAUAACUAUUUAAUGAUUUUUAUGGGGUUCUCAGAACCACAAAGGGAAAAGACUCAUUUUCAUUCCAAUACAGAUAAGAAAACCAGGGCACAGGCA